GACGAACCGUCCUAACGUUGUUCGGAAUCACUGGGCUUAAAGGGCGCGUAGGCGGCUUGCCCAGUCAGGGGUGAAAUCCUGCAGCUUAACUGUAGAAGGGCCUUUGAUACUGGCGAGCUCGAGGGAGGUAGGGGUAUGUGGAACUUCCGGUGGAGCGGUGAAAUGCGUUGAUAUCGGAAGGAACGCCGGUGGCGAAAGCGACGUACUGGACCUCUUCUGACGCUGAGGCGCGAAAGCUAGGGGAGCAAACGGG
rnacentral:rRNA from 1 species